CCUUGGAGCCAGCUGAGUAUGGAUCGAAACCUCCACAAACUAAGCUGAGGUGAAGACAUGGCAGUGGCUCAGCUUCAAGCAUCUCUGAAAGGAAGGUGUCCUGAUGACGGCAGAACAAGGUAGAGGAGGCGUGAUGCAACGGGGCUGUCUCUCACCCUGAAUGGUCAGGUCAAACUAAAAUACAAAAAGAGGAAAAGAACUACUGUCUUAUUUUAUAAGUAGUCUUCUCUCUGUCUUUUGUUAUAGCAGCUUGAUAGGUACUAUAAGGCGAAACAAAUUGAAAAAAUAAAGCGAUUGGCUGACUAAUGUA